GACGAACGCUGGCGGCGUGCUUAACACAUGCAAGUCGAACGGGAAGGCCGUGCUGCUGGGGGGUGCUGGAGUGGCGAGCGGGUGAGUAACAAGCGAGUAACCUGCCCGUGACUUUGGGAUAACUUCAGGAAACUGGGGCUGAUACCUGAUAGGAGCUCCGGCUGCAUGGCGGGGGUUGGGAGGGUUCGGCGGUGGGGGAUGGACUCGCGGCUUACCAGCUUGUUGGUUGGGGAGUGGCUUAGCAAGGCUGUGACCGGUAGCGGGCCUGAGAGGGUGACCGGACACAUUGGGACUGAGGUCCCGCCCAGACUGCUGCGGGAGGCAGCAGUGGGGAAUGUUGCACAACGGGAGGAAGCCUGAUGGAGCGGCGCCGCGUGCCGGAUGGCGUCCAUCGGUUUGUAGACCGCAUUCGCCUGUGACGGAGCGUGUGUGACGGUAAUGGGUAGAGAAGCGCCGGCUAACUACGUG
rnacentral:rRNA from 1 species